rnacentral:lncRNA from 1 species
CUACAUAUGAAUUUUCGGGGGACAAAAAUAUUCAAUCCAUAGCCCUCUGGCUCAUCCCAGCUGAUUUAGGGCUGACUUGUUAAUAAGCAAGCAGUUAGGAAGACAUACUAAGCUCAAACGCAAAAGUUUGUAGCUUUUGUUCUCAAAGAUGGUUGCUACACUUCUAAGCACUGAGUCUCUCUUCCAAUCAAGAAGAAGGAAGAAAGAAUUAAAGGUUAAAGAGGUAUGUCGGCUGAGCCUGUGCUCUUUAAAAGCUUUCCCAGAAACGCCAGUCACCCAGUUCUGGUUAAUUUUGAAUGAUUGGAAGUGAGUUACAUGGCCAUCUCCUCAUGCAGGAGAUUCUGGAAGCAACCAGCCCACCAUCCUUAGGUGCUUUCCAAAAGUCAUCUCAUCAGCUUGACAGAAGACACCUUUAUCACUGUCAACACUUCCGAAAUUCCAAGGGUUUUGGGAGCAAUGAGCCAGGAACAUGGAGGAAAACCAAAGCCAAUGAAAAUAAGUUGAUUCCUCAUAAUUUUCCUCUGGCCUUGAUCCUCAGGAAUCCCAGAGGAUAAGCAUCUCUCCCUAAACUAAGGAUUAAUUAGUGACCUGCUAUGCUCACCUUGUGACCACCCACCUUGUGACCACCGACCUGCUGUGUUCACCAAUCUGCCAUGCCAGCAAAGCAAUCUCCUAACUAUUGUAAAAGGGACACUCCUGUCAUGUGAUGCAUGCUCUUUGUUGUAAGACAGUAUACAACCAGUCUGUACACCCCACUUCUUUGGGUUCCUGAGGAAGGCAGACCCCGGG